CUACACCGCCGCUUCCCAUAAGAUUACCGUAGUUAAGCAACGUCGAGCCUCGUCAGUACCUAAAUGCGUGACCGCUUGGGAAUACCAUGUGCUGCAA